AGCGGAUAAGUGUUACGGAAGCACGGCAGACUCUGAUUCUGCACGCGAUGGUUCGACUCCAUCAUCCGCUG
rnacentral:tRNA from 1 species